GACGAACGCUGGCGCCGUGCUUAACACAUGCGAGUCGAACGGAAAGGCCCUGCUUUUGUGGGGUGCUCGAGUGGCGAACGGGUGAGUAACACGUGAGUAACCUGCCCUUGACUUUGGGAUAACUUCAGGAAACUGGGGCUAAUACCGGAUAGGAGCUCCUGCUGCAUGGUGGGGGUUGGAAAGUUUCGGCGGUUGGGGAUGGACUCGCGGCUUAUCAGCUUGUUGGUGGGGUAGUGGCUUACCAAGGCUUUGACGGGUAGCCGGCCUGAGAGGGUGACCGGCCACAUUGGGACUGCGAUACGGCCCAGACUCCUACGGGAGGCAGCAGUGGGGAAUAUUGCACAAUGGGCGGAAGCCUGAUGCAGCAACGCCGCGUGCGGGAUGACGGCCUUCGGGUUGUAAACCGCUUUCGCCUGUGACGAAGCGUGAGUGACGGUAAUGAGUAAAGAAGCACCGGCUAACUACGUG
rnacentral:rRNA from 1 species